UGGGGAAUAUUGGACAAUGGGCGAAAGCAUGAUCCAGCCAUGCCGCGUGUGAGAAGAAGGUUUUCGGAUUGUAAAGCACUUUAAGUUGGGAGGAAGGGCAGUAAGCGAAUACCUUGCUGUUUUGACGUUACCGACAGAAUAAGCACCGGCUAACUCUGUGCCAGCAGCCGCGGUAAUACAGAGGGUGCAAGCGUUAAUCGGAAUUACUGGGCGUAAAGCGCGCGUAGGUGGUUCGUUAAGUUGAAUGUGAAAGCCCCGGGCUCAACCUGGGAACUGCAUCCAAAACUGGCGAGCUAGAGUAGGGCAGAGGGUGGUGGAAUUUCCUGUGUAGCGGUGAAAUGCGUAGAUAUAGGAAGGAACACCAGUGGCGAAGGCGACCACCUGCGCUCAUACUGACACUGAGGUGCGAAAGCGUGGGGAGCAAACAGG
rnacentral:rRNA from 1 species